rnacentral:lncRNA from 1 species
UAGACACCAUAGCCAUCUCUAUGAUUAUCUUUCCAGUUUGUUUGUCCAAAAAAUGUUUCAUAAAUUUUUAUUUCAGUUGAGCUGGGGUGGACCAACAACAACCAAAGGCAAAGGAGUAGCACAUGGCUGGUCACAUAGUUCAAAUGGAUGCAGGGAAACUCAGGGUGUAUUUGCAGCAUUUUUGUAUUGUGUGGAGUGCUUGUGUGGAGGAACAUAUGUUGAAAGCAGUGAGACUUAUGUACUUCUUUCCAAGUAAAACAUUCUCAGUCUAUGUGGCAUCCCACUAAUAGGCUUCAAGCAGCCAGCAUUGCAGAAUGGUGUGCCAAUGCCAAAGCUCAUCACCAGCUCCCAGAGGAUUCCCAGCACUUCUGCAUCAUCUCUUUUAUUAACUUGUAAACAGCUCUGAACUGUAAGCUGAAUUGUAGCAAUAAGAAAAGGAGAUGGAGGCAAACAGCCAGGAGAAUGUUAGGCUAAAUACACAUUCAUCACUAGCAAUGUUGAUUCCUGUCCUUCAAGUAACCCUGCCUUUAAUCUGAUGGAAUGAUUGGACCAGGAUAAGUUGUGUUGAGGAAUAAACUCAAGACAAAACAUUCUACAUUAUAGCAUAUGAGGUGCCUGAUCCUGAAAAGUCUCACAACUGAGACUCAAAUCUAAGUGAUUUGUUUAAUAAACACUGAGAAAUA